rnacentral:tRNA from 1 species
GCGUCUUUAGCUCAGUGGAUAGAGCGUCGGACUUCUAAUCCGCAGGUCCCAGGUUCGAAUCCUGGAAGGCGCGC